UACGUAGGGGGCGAGCGUUGUCCGGAUUUAUUGGGCGUAAAGAGCUCGUAGGCGGUUUGGCAAGUCGGGUGUGAAAACUCCGGGCUCAACUCGGAGACGCCACUCGAUACUGCCAUGACUUGAGUCCGGUAGGGGAGUGCGGAAUUCCUGGUGUAGCGGUGAAAUGCGCAGAUAUCAGGAGGAACACCGGUGGCGAAGGCGGCACUCUGGGACGGUACUGACGCUGAGACGCGAAAGCGUGGGGAGCGAACAGG
rnacentral:rRNA from 1 species